rnacentral:lncRNA from 1 species
CAAGAUAAACACAGAAUUCAACAUACCCCAAAAGCUGAUAAAAAAGCCCAACAAUUUAAAACAACACAAGAUCAAAAAGAGAGAGUAGAAAUUGGUCAAGAAAAUGAAAUAUUUUUACCUUCCUUGUUUGAUGAUGCAAAAAAGGGAAAACACACUCCCAUAAUCAAUCAAACAAAACCCAGACUUUCACAAAGUUCUUAGAAAAUUACUUCAAACCAUCUUCACUUUCACACUUCAACACACACAAAACAAAAACCAUCUCUGAAUUUCCUCUUAGCACCCAAUAUUUACCAACUCUUUUUAAUUCUCUCUCUAUGAUCUAAACUGCCCAUUUAAGACAAGGAUUGAAACCCAAAGUGGCUGAUCAACAAAUGGAAGAAAC